AGUGGCGAACGGGUGAGUAACGCGUGAGUAUCUGCCCUUAGGAGGGGGACAACAGUUGGAAACGACUGCUAAUACCCCAUAUGUCUACGGAUGAAAGAUUUUAUCGCCUGAGGAUGAACUCGCGUCUGAUUAGCUAGUUGGUGAGGUAAUGGCUCACCAAGGCGACGAUCAGUAGCUGGUCUGAGAGGAUGAUCAGCCACACUGGGACUGAGACACGGCCCAGACUCCUACGGGAGGCAGCAGUGGGGAAUUUUCCGCAAUGGGGGCAACCCUGACGGAGCAAUACCGCGUGCGGGAGGACGGCCUGUGGGUUGUAAACCGCUUUUCUCAGGGAAGAAGACCUGACGGUACCUGAGGAAUCAGCAUCGGCUAACUCCGUGCCAGCAGCCGCGGUAAUACGGAGGAUGCAAGCGUUAUCCGGAAUUAUUGGGCGUAAAGCGUCCGUAGGUGGUUAAUCAAGUCUGCUGUUAAAGAGCGGAGCUUAACUCCGUUUAAGCGGUGGAAACUGGUUGACUAGAGAGUGGUAGGGGUAGAGGGAAUUCCCAGUGUAGCGGUGAAAUGCGUAGAUAUUGGGAAGAACACCGGUGGCGAAAGCGCUCUACUGGGCCACAUCUGACACUGAUGGACGAAAGCUAGGGGAGCGAAAGGGAUUAGAUACCCC
rnacentral:rRNA from 1 species